rnacentral:rRNA from 1 species
AGGAAUAUUGGUCAAUGGGCGCGAGCCUGAACCAGCCAAGUAGCGUGAAGGAUGAAGGUCCUACGGAUUGUAAACUUCUUUUAUAAGGGAAUAAAGUCACCCACGUGUGGGUGUUUGUAUGUACCUUAUGAAUAAGCAUCGGCUAACUCCGUGCCAGCAGCCGCGGUAAUACGGAGGAUGCGAGCGUUAUCCGGAUUUAUUGGGUUUAAAGGAAGCGUAGACGGGCCGUUAAGUCAGCUGUGAAAGUUUGAGGCUCAACCUUAAAAUUGCAGUUGAUACUGGCGUCCUUGAGUACGGUUGAGGCAGGCGGAAUUCGUGGUGUAGCGGUGAAAUGCUUAGAUAUCACGAAGAACCCCGAUUGCGAAGGCAGCCUGCUAAACCGCCACUGACGUUGAGGCUCGAAAGUGUGGGUAUCAAACAGGAUUAGAUACCCUGGUAGUCCACACGGUAAACGAUGGAUACUCGCUGUUGGCGAUAGACUGUCAGCGGCUUAGCGAAAGCGUUAAGUAUCCCACCUGGGGAGUACGCCGGCAACGGUGAAACUCAAAGGAAUUGACGGGGGCCCGCACAAGCGGAGGAACAUGUGGUUUAAUUCGAUGAUACGCGAGGAACCUUACCCGGGCUUGAAUUGCAGACGAAUUGCUUGGAAACAGGCAAGCCGCAAGGCGUCUGUGAAGGUGCUGCAUGGUUGUCGUCAGCUCGUGCCGUGAGGUGUCGGCUUAAGUGCCAUAACGAGCGCAACCCUCGUGUCCAGUUACUAGCAGGUUAUGCUGAGGACUCUGGACAGACUGCCAUCGUAAGAUGUGAGGAAGGUGGGGAUGACGUCAAAUCAGCACGGCCCUUACGUCCGGGGCUACACACGUGUUACAAUGGGGGGUACAGCAGGCAGCUACCGGGCGACCGGAUGCCAAUCCCGAAAGCCUCUCUCAGUUCGGACUGGAGUCUGCAACCCGACUCCACGAAGCUGGAUUCGCUAGUAAUCGCGCAUCAGCCACGGCGCGGUGAAUACGUUCCCG